UACGGGGGGGUGCAAGCGUUGUUCGGAAUCAUUGGGCGUAAAGAGCGUGUAGGCGGCCGCGUAUGUCAGAUGUGAAAGUCCUGGGCUCAACCUGGGAAGUGCAUUUGAAACUGCGUGGCUAGAGUAAGGGAGAGGAAAGUGGAAUUCCUGGUGUAGAGGUGAAAUUCGCAGAUAUCAGGAGGAACACCGGUGGCGAAGGCGGCUUUCUGGCCCUCUACUGACGCUGAGACGCGAAAGCGUGGGGAGCAAA
rnacentral:rRNA from 2 species